rnacentral:lncRNA from 1 species
CGGCAGGCGAAGGCGGUGUUCGGUGACGGAGCCAAGGUAUUAUAGAGUUAUUCUAGUUUGCUUUGUCUGUGGUGAGAACUGUUUUUGGUGAUUUUCUUUGUAUAUUUAGAAAAUAGAGAAUGAAUGGCUUAGUUUAAACUUGAGAAAGGCUUGAAUGGUGCCGAUUACGGUGUUAAACAGCUGCGGCGGAUUUCUUUAAGGGUUUGGAUGCGAUUUCUUGCGCGUGAAAAGGGGAGAGGUUCUGGUAAGUGAAAUGAUUAAUUGGAAAGUGAAAAUAAU